GGCCGCCCGGGGCGUCUCCAAAGCCCCCUUCCCUAACCCGAGAGCCCUCCAGACACGCGUGGAGUCCGGGGAGAGGCCCCUGCACCGGCGGAUCCUGCCGCAGGGCCGAGGAAGAGCAAGAGCGACUGUCUGGCUGCGGUCAUUCGCUGUCUGUGCCGGGCUCCUCGCUAGGAUCCAGUUCUUAGCCGACUCCUUGCUAGGCGGGGACAAGCUCCCGAAAACAAAUAAGACAAUGUGAUGUGGGCUACAUUGGGUGGCAGUCGAGUGUUCUAAAAAUAUCCCGCCAGGAGGAAGGCAUUCCGAGUAGCGGGAUCCCGCGCAGCCUCAGGGCUGCUGGCAGUGAAAGUGGGGGGAUGGAGGAGGUGUCCAGAGGAAAGACCUGGAGAUCUGGAGAUACAGGACGGUCAGGGUGGUCAGAGAAUUUGGAUCUUUUGCUUGUUGGAAAUCGGGACCGCUCCGAGAAACGUAAGCAGCUCGAUGUUGUUAGUGCCAGUGGAGACACUUGGCACUCACAAUUUGCAGACGUUUGGGAAAGCAUCGUUUCUCAAGAGGACCCCGUUCCCGUGUCUGUAAAUCAGAGAUGGUACCCACUUCGUAGUUCGCUGUGAAGCCUGUGAGCGAGGAGGGGCUUUAAAAUACAGAACUUUGCACUGGAGCGCUCCCCGUCCUCGCAGCCUGCUUGGUGUGCAGGUGGUUCCCAGGCGGCUUCUGCUUCCGAAAAGCAGAUCGUCCCUUUAUCUCGAGUCUUCUCCCCGCCUCUCCCUCUUCUCCCUACCCUAUUUGUCUUCUUGGGAACAAAUGGCACAUUCAUCAGAGUGGAGAUCCAUAAACGGGACUGGCGAGCCGAAGAUUUAAUUCUGAAGAAUAGGAUCUGCUCUGUGCUUUCAGGUUAAAAAGCUGUAAAUAUCUUUGUAAUUCUAGCAGUACUUUGCCCUCUUCUGCCAUCUGAACGCGUGCUCCCUGCUGACCUCAUCGGCUCCCAUAAAGAUACGCCGGGCGUGAUAGUGCACGCCUACAAAUCCCAGCUACUCGGGAGGCUGCGGCAGAAGAAUCUCUGGAACCUGGGAAGCAGAGGUUGCAGUGAACUGAGAUCACACCACUGCACUCCAGCCUGGACCACAGAGCAAAACUCUGUCUUAAAAAUUAUAUUUUUAAUAAAAAUAAAUAAUAAAUGCAGAACUGGCCUCGGGGUGCUGGGAGAGCAAUUGCACUUCUACCAGGCAUCUCUAUGGACAAGAAUCAUUGGCAUUCCUAUGAAUUUUCUACAACUUACCAAGUUGGAAAAUAGCUGCAAGAUUUUAUAAGGCAAAAAUCACUAAAAAAUCAGGUAAUCCAGAAAGGUGCUUUAGAUAAGGCCUAGCAUGCCACAGGACACCCAAUAAUUUUUGGAGUUUUUGCCAUUUUAACUUUUUUAGUUUUUCCAGACAUUCCCAAGGUGGCACCUUCCAUAGUUGUACAGUUUCAACUGUGUUAAAAUUUCUUUGUCGGGGACUGUUGUGGGGUGGGGGAACGGGGAGGGAUAGCAUUAGGAGAUAUACCUAAUGCUAAGUGACGAGUUAAUGGGUGCAGCACACCAACAUGGCACAUGUAUACAUAUGUAACAAACCUGCACGUUAUGUACAUGUACGCUAAAACUUAAAGUAUAAUAAUAAUAAGAAUUCUUUGUCAGCUUGGGCAACAGAGUGACACCCCAUUUCUACAAAACAUACAUAAAUCGAGCCAGGUGCAGUGACUCACGCCUGUAGUCCUAGCACUUUGGGAGGCUGAGGCAGGUGGAUCAUGAGGUCAGGAGAUCGAGACCAUCCUGGCCAACAUGGUGAAAUCCCGUCUCUACUAAAAAUACAAAAAUUAGCUGGGCGUGGUGGUGUGUGCUUGUAAUCCCAGCUACUUGGGAGGCUGAGGCAGGAGAAUUGCUUGAACCCAGGGGGUGGAGGCUGCAGUGAGAAUUGCUUGAACCCGGGAGGCAGAGGUUGCAAUGAGGCGAGAUUGCGCCACUGCACUCCAGCCUGGUGACAGAGCGAGACUCCGUCUCAAAAAAAAAAAAAAAAUUAGCCAGGUAUAGUGGUGCUCACAUGCAGUCCCCAGCUACUCAGUAGGCUGCGGUGCAGGAUUGCUUGAGCCCAGAAUUUUGAGGCUGCAGUGAACUAUGAUCACGGCACUGCACUCCAGGCUGGGUGACAGAGAGAGACAUGUCUCAAAAAAAAAAAAAAUUAAAAGUAUAUCUAUUCCUUUAAAAAGAGGAACAGGAUAUUUAUAAUGAAGCACAGAUAAAGGGCAAUUGGAUAAUUGUGGCUUUAAACUCCUUGUAAUUAAAGAAAUAAGCCAUCUAAUGUA
rnacentral:lncRNA from 1 species